rnacentral:rRNA from 1 species
CCUACGGGUGGCAGCAGUGAGGAAUAUUGGUCAAUGGACGCAAGUCUGAACCAGCCAUGUCGCGUGCAGGAAGACGGCCCUAUGAGUUGUAAACUGCUUUUGUACGGGGGUAAAUCCCGAUACGUGUAUCGGGUUGAAAGUAUCGUACGAAUAAGGAUCGGCUAACUCCGUGCCAGCAGCCGCGGUAAUACGGAGGAUUCAAGCGGUAUCCGGAUUUAUUGGGUUUAAAGGGUGCGUAGGCGGAGGUGUAAGUCAGCGGUAAAAUUGCGGGGCUCAACCCCGUACUGCCGUUGAAACUGCAUCCCUUGAGUGCGCGAGAAGUAUGCGGAAUGCGUGGUGUAGCGGUGAAAUGCAUAGAUAUCACGCAGAACUCCGAUUGCGAAGGCAGCAUACCGGCGCGCAACUGACGCUCAUGCACGAAAGCGUGGGUAUCGAACAGGAUUAGAUACCCCAGUAGUC